rnacentral:tRNA from 1 species
GGAGGGCUAGACCUAACUGGUAAGGCAGCGGUCUUGAAAACCGCUGGGCGCAAGCCCUUGGGGGUUCGAGUCCCUCGCCCUCCG